UCCGGUUUGUCACCGGCAGUCUCGCAUGAGUCCCCAACUAAAUGCUGGCAACAUGCGACGGGGGUUGCGCUCGUUGCGGGACUUAACCCAACAUCUCACGACACGAGCUGACGACAGCCAUGCAGCACCUGUGUCCAGGUUCCCUUUCGGGCACCCCUCCAUCUCUGGAGGGUUCCUGGCAUAUCAAGGGUAGGUAAGGUUCUUCGCGUUGCAUCGAAUUAAUCCACAUCAUCCACCGCUUGUGCGGAUCCCCGUCAAUUCCUUUGAGUUUUAACCUUACGGCCGUACUCCCCAGGCGAUCAACUUCACGCGUUAGCUUCGUUACUAAUGGGUUUAACCCCACCAACAACCAGUUGACAUCGUUUAGGGCGUGGACUAC
rnacentral:misc_RNA from 1 species